rnacentral:rRNA from 1 species
AACGCGAAGAACCUUACCCAGGUUUGACAUCCUCGGAAUUUCUCCGAAAGGAGAGAGUGCCGUAAGGAGCCGAGUGACAGGUGCUGCAUGGCCGUCGUCAGCUCGUGUCGUGAGAUGUUUGGUUAAGUCCAUCAACGAGCGCAACCCCUAUGUUUAGUUGAAUUUCUCUAAACAGACUGCCCUGGUAACAGGGAGGAAGGGGGGAUGAUGUCAGGUCAGUAUUGCCCUUACAUCUGGGGCUACAAACACGCUACAAUGGCCGGUACAAAGGGCUGCCAAGUCGCGAGACGGAGCAAAUCCCAUCAAAGCCGGUCUCAGUUCGGAUUGCAGGCUGAAACUCGCCUGCAUGAAGCUGGAAUCGCUAGUAACGGUGAGUCAGCACAUCACCGUGAAUACGUUCCCGGGCCUUGUA